rnacentral:rRNA from 1 species
AUACGGAGGAUGCGAGCGUUAUCCGGAUUUAUUGGGUUUAAAGGGAGCGUAGGUGGGAUAUUAAGUCAGCUGUGAACGUUUGGGGCUCAACCUUAAAAUUGCAGUUGAUACUGGUUUCCUUGAGUACGGUACAGGUGGGCGGAAUUCGUGGUGGAGCGGUGAAAUGCUUAGAUAUCACGAAGAACUCCGAUCGCGAAGGCAGCUCACCGGGCCGGAACUGACACUGAUGCUCGAAAGUGCGGGUAUCAAACAGGAUUAGAUACCCUGGUAGUCCGCACAGUAAACGAUGAAUACUCGCUGUUUGCGAUACACAGUAAGCGGCCAAGCGAAAGCGUUAAGUAUUCCACCUGGGGAGUACGCCGGCAACGGUGAAACUCAAAUGAAUUGACGGGG